rnacentral:rRNA from 1 species
GAUGAACGCUGGCGGCGUGCCUAAUACAUGCCAGUCGAACGAACGGACGAGAAGCUUUCUUCUCUGAUGUUAGCGGCGGACGGGUGAGUAACACGUGGAUAACCUACCUCUAAGACUGGGAUAACUUCGGGAAACCGGAGCUACUACCGGAUGAUAUUUUGAACCGCAUGGUUCAAAAGUGAAAGACGGUUUUGCUGUCUCUUAUAGAUGUAUCCGCGCGGCAUUAGCUAGUUGGUAAGGUAACGCCUUACCAAGGCAACGAUGCAUAGCCGACCUGAGAGGGUGAUCGGCCACACUGGAACUGAGACACGGUCCAGACUCCUACGGGAGGCAUCAGUAGGGAAUCUUCCGCAAUGGGCGAAAGCCUGACGGAGCAACGCCGCGUGAGUGAUGAAGGUCUUCGGAUCGUAAAACUCUGUUAUUAGGGAAGAACAUAUGUGUAAGUAACUGUGCACAUCUUGACGGUACCUAAUCAGAAAGCCACGGCUAACUACGUG